GGGGAAUAUUGCACAAUGGGCGCAAGCCUGAUGCAGCCAUGCCGCGUGUAUGAAGAAGGCCUUCGGGUUGUAAAGUACUUUCAGCGGGGAGGAAGGCGUUGAGGUUAAUAACCUCAGCGAUUGACGUUACCCGCAGAAGAAGCACCGGCUAACUCCGUGCCAGCAGCCGCGGUAAUACGGAGGGUGCAAGCGUUAAUCGGAAUUACUGGGCGUAAAGCGCACGCAGGCGGUCUGUCAAGUCGGAUGUGAAAUCCCCGGGCUCAACCUGGGAACUGCAUUCGAAACUGGCAGGCUAGAGUCUUGUAGAGGGGGGUAGAAUUCCAGGUGUAGCGGUGAAAUGCGUAGAGAUCUGGAGGAAUACCGGUGGCGAAGGCGGCCCCCUGGACAAAGACUGACGCUCAGGUGCGAAAGCGUGGGGAGCAAAC
rnacentral:rRNA from 1 species